UCUUAUGUAUGAGCAAAGAAAGUGGAUUCUUGAGAUGGAAUCAACUGCUGGUGAAGAUGGUGUGAA
rnacentral:pre_miRNA from 1 species